AGUGAACGCUGGCGGUAGGCCUAACACAUGCAAGUCGAACGGCAGCACAGUAAGAGCUUGCUCUUACGGGUGGCGAGUGUCGGACUGGUGAGGAAUACAUCGGACUCUACUUUUUCGUGGGGGAUAACGUAGGGACACUUACGCUAAUACCGCAUACGACCUACGGGUGAAAGCAGGGGAUCUUCGGACCUUGCGCGAUUGACUGCGCCUAUGUCGGAUUAGCUAGUUUGCGGGGUAAAGGCCCACCAAGGCGACGAUCCGUAGCUGGUCUGAGAGGAUGAUCAGCCACACUGGAACUGAGACACGGUCCAGACUCCUACGGGAGGCAGCAGUGGGGAAUAUUGGACAAUGGGCGCAAGCCUGAUCCAGCCAUACCGCGUGGGUGAAGAAGGACUUCGGGGUGUAAAGCCCUUUUGUUGGGAAAGAAAAGCAGCAGGUUAAUACCCCGCUGUUCUGACGGUACCCAAAGAAUAAGCACCGGCUAACUUCGUG
rnacentral:rRNA from 1 species